AAGCCCGGGGCUCAACCUCGGAACCGCAUUUGAAACUGGCAGGCUAGAGUCUUGUAGAGGGGGGUAGAAUUUCAGGUGUAGCGGUGAAAUGCGUAGAGAUCUGAAGGAAUACCAGUGGCGAAGGCGGCCCCCUGGACAAAGACUGACGCUCAGAUGCGAAAGCGUGGGUAGCAAACAGGAUUAGAUACCCUGGUAGUCCACGCCGUAAACGCUGUCUACUUGGAGGUUGAGGUUUAAGACUUUGGCUUUCGGCGCUAACGCAUUAAGUAGACCGCCUGGGGAGUACGGCCGCAAGGUUAAAACUCAAAUGAAUUGACGGGGGCCCGCACAAGCGGUGGAGCAUGUGGUUUAAUUCGAUGCAACGCGAAGAACCUUACCUACUCUUGACAUCCAGAGAACUUUCCAGAGAUGGAUUGGUGCCUUCGGGAACUCUGAGACAGGUGCUGCAUGGCUGUCGUCAGCUCGUGUUGUGAAAUGUUGGGUUAAGUCCCGCAACGAGCGCAACCCUUAUCCUUGCUUGCCAGCACGUAAUGGUGGGAACUCCAGGGAGACUGCCGGUGAUAAACCGGAGGAAGGUGGGGACGACGUCAAGUCAUCAUGGCCCUUACGAGUAGGGCUACACACGUGCUACAAUGGCAGAUACAGAGGGCAGCGAAGCUGCGAAGUGGAGCGAAUCCCUUAAAGUCUGUCGUAGUCCGGAUUGGAGUCUGCAACUCGA
rnacentral:rRNA from 1 species